AGGGUUUGAUCAUGGCUCAGAACGAACGCUGGCGGCAGGCCUAACACAUGCAAGUCGAGCGCCUUAACCACUUCGGUGGGGCGGGAGCGGCGGACGGGUUAGUAACGCGUGGGAACGUGCCCAAAGGUAGGGAACAACAGCUGGAAACGGCUGCUAAUACCCUAUGUGCCCUACGGGGGAAAGAUUUAUCGCCUUUGGAUCGGCCCGCGUUGGAUUAGGUAGUUGGUGGGGUAACGGCCUACCAAGCCUACGAUCCAUAGCUGGUUUGAGAGGAUGAUCAGCAACACUGGGACUGAGACACGGCCCAGACUCCUACGGGAGGCAGCAGUGGGGAAUCUUGGACAAUGGGGGCAACCCUGAUCCAGCCAUGCCGCGUGGGCGAUGAAGGCCUUAGGGUUGUAAAGCUCUUUCACCGGUGAAGAUAAUGACGGUAGCCGGAGAAGAAGCCCCGGCUAACUCCGUGCCAGCAGCCGCGGUAAUACGGAGGGGGCUAGCGUUGUUCGGAAUUACUGGGCGUAAAGCGCGCGUAGGCGGGCUGUUAAGUCGGGGGUGAAAUCCCGGGGCUCAACCCCGGAACUGCCCUCGAUACUGGCAGCCUAGAGAUCGAGAGAGGCGAGUGGAAUACCGAGUGUAGAGGUGAAAUUCGUAGAUAUUCGGUGGAACACCAGUGGCGAAGGCGGCUCGCUGGCUCGAUACUGACGCUGAGGCGCGAAAGCGUGGGGAGCAAACAGGAUUAGAUACCC
rnacentral:rRNA from 1 species